GUCCUCGUAGUAUAAACUCAGUACACCGGUCUUGUAAACCGGAGAUGGACAAUUCUCCCUAGGACA
rnacentral:tRNA from 1 species